UUGCAGUUAAAAAGCUCGUAGUUGGAUUUCUGGGAGGGUGGCGAUGUCCGCGUAACGUGUGUGCAGCGGCGCCCUUCCAUCCUUCUGUUAGCGCCUCUUGGCAUUUAUUUGCUGGUGGCGGGCUCAGAUAUUUUACCUUGAGAAAAUUAGAGUGUUUCAGGCAGGCUAGGCCGGAAUACAUUAGCAUGGAAUAAUGGAAUAGGACUUCGGUCUCUUUGUUGGUUUGAGGGACUGCAGUAAUGAUUAAUAGGGAUAGUUGGGGGCAUUAGUAUUUAAUUGUCAGAGGUGGAAUUCUCAGAUUUGUUAAAGACUAACUUAUGCGAAAGCAUUUGCCAAGGAUGUUUUCAUUAAUCAAGAACGAAAGUUAGGGGAUCAAAGACGAUCAGAUACCGUCCUAGUCUUAACCAUAAACUAUGCCGACUCGGGAUCGGGGGCGUGUUCUAUCCGCCUUCGGCACCGUAUGAGAAAUCAAAGUCUUUGGGUUCUGGGGGGAGUAUGGU
rnacentral:rRNA from 1 species